UUGGGAGCUCACUGGCUUUGGAGUCAUGGGAACUCCGAAGUUAAGCGAGUUGGGGCUAGAGUAAUCCCAGGAUGGGUGACCCACUAGGAAGUUGCUCGUAAGGUCCCAGA
rnacentral:rRNA from 1 species